rnacentral:tRNA from 1 species
ACCUUCGUGGUGUAGUGGUCAGCACACUCGGCGCGUAAUCUAGAUGUCCGAGGUUCGAGUCCCGGCAAGGGCA